ACUCAAAUGAAUUGACGGGGGCCCGCACAAGCGGCGGAGCAUGUUGCUUAAUUCGAUGCAACGCGAAAAACCUCACCUAGGUUUGACAUGCUGGGAAAAGCCACAGAGAUGUGGUGUCCUUCGGGGUCCAGCACAGGUGGUGCAUGGCUGUCGUCAGCUCGUGUCGUGAGAUGUUGGGUUAAGUCCCGCAACGAGCGCAACCCUUGUCCUGUGUUGCCAGCGGAUUAUGCCGGGGACUCACAGGAGACUGCCGGGGUCAACUCGGAGGAAGGUGGGGACGACGUCAAGUCAUCAUGCCCCUUACGUCUAGGGCUGCAAACAUGCUACAAUGGCUGGUACAACGGGCUGCGAACUCGCGAGAGUAAGCGAAUCCCUUAAAGCCAGUCUCAGUUCGGAUUGGAGUCUGCAACUCGACUCCAUGAAGCUGGAGUCGCUAGUAAUCCCGGAUCAGCAUUGCCGGGGUGAAUACGUUCCCGGGCCUUGUACACACCGCCCGU
rnacentral:rRNA from 1 species